CUUGAAUGAUGUGAGCAUCAGCAGAGAUGUUGGAGAUGACUUGGAAGGUUGCUGAUGAAGAAUCCUGGUUGUCGAAGAAGCCUACUUCUUGUCUGAGAACUGAUUUUAGAUAUUCUGUCCGAAUUCUUGAGGCAAGUCAUCUGUACCUUGUCCACCACCUCACGCUCGAUGGACCGGCUAAACUGCCCGAACGCGUCUAUUGCUCCACUCGUCACGUACAUGGUGAGUGGAGACGCCAGCCCUUCUCCGACGCUGCCAAGAACACCGAGAAACAUGAGCAGCUUGUCGACACCGUCUGCAAACCGGAACACCCCACCUUUCUUCCCCAUUUUUCUACCUCAACACUGAGAUGUUUAACGGCUCAAAAUGUUCGUGUCCGAACGCGAAGAUCAACGAGCGCGAUUUUUCUAGUUUUUGACAGAGGCUUUGCUGUUUGAAAGGGGAAGAAGAAGCAGUCACAGUGCAAACGGCGGCAUCCAUUUCAUCUGAUGCAGCAUGUAAAUGUCAUAACCAAAUAUAUGAAUACAUGCAUGCAUGCAUGGAAUGAAUCUGAGAAUUUUAUAACAUCGUGUAUCAAAUCCCAACAUUUGUGACUUACAACUUAAUUACAAUAUAGUUUUGU